rnacentral:tRNA from 7 species
GCGACGGUGGCGGAACGGCAGACGCGCUGGCCUUAGGAGCCAGUGGGGAAACCCGUGGGGGUUCAAAUCCCUUCCGUCGCACCA